rnacentral:lncRNA from 1 species
CAUUCUCUAUGGAUGUCUUUACAGAGAUAAAGUAGUGGGAUAUUUCCUUGAAAUAAUGUUCAUCAUCAAUGCUGAAGUUUACAGAGGACAAAAAUAUGAAAUCAUGUGUUCAUAGACAGCCCCAGGACACACACAGUGGAUGCAUUGUGUUCUCCUGGGUUGCAUAACUACUUUGAAAGAAGUUUUCUUUUCUGUGUCAUAAAAGAAGACUUUUUGGCUCUGCCAGGAUACUCUACCAUUUGGCCCCAUAGACUUCAAGCAUGCCUGAAGAUACGUGCCAAUGGCUUGUUGGUUUUUGAAGAUCAUUCUGAUCUCUGCUGAGUUACCCAACUGGACUCAGAAGGGUCUGACCCACGUGCCACAUUCCAGCUGUUUGCUUGUUUGUUUUUAAUCUCAACCUAGUUUAAUGGGAAGAAGAGAUGAACAGUGAAGAGAAGAGACAAUCCCAGGGUUUCAGCUGUGAUUCUACCAUGAGUCAGAAAGUGGUCUCUCUGUGGAGCCCGCCAGGAGCCUUCAGAACGCCCAUGCCUUCUCCAUGGCAGCCUCUCCACCAUCUUCCCGUCCAAGCGAAUAGUCCAUGCUUCCUGCUCAUUCCUUAGAGUAAGGUCCUGCCUCCAGAACACCUGGGUUAAAUAAAAAAUGUGUUGACCUGUGGCUAAUACAUUAGGUCAUGGAUAUAUACUCAUAGAGGCAAAACUGAGUUUAUUAUUUAUAAGCCACCAUAGUGGAGACCCAAGUCCUGUCUAAAAGGAACACAGAUUCGUUCUGCUUUACUUUUCACAUCCAUAAAAGAGGGAUAGAUAUUACAAUUAUGAAUGUUGACACAUUAUAGAAUAUUGGGAGAAGCAAUUUCAGAAGCUCACUCCCUAGAGAACCUCUUUUUCUCUAAAGUGGAGCCUGGCUUUGCAGGAAAUGCCCACUAGAGAAUUGGGGUAAAUAUUUGCCAAGAUUUUUUUUUAAGCUGAGGAUAACAGAAGAUAUUUGCUGAGAACUUUUGUCCGUCAUUAAAAUAGAUACC